CCUACGGGUGGCUGCAGUGGGGAAUAUUGCACAAUGGGGGCAACCCUGAUGCAGCGACGCCGCGUGAGUGAAGAAGUAUUUCGGUAUGUAAAGCUCUAUCAGCAGGGAAGAAAAUGAUGGUACCUGUCUCAGAACCCCCGGCUAACUCCGUGCCAGCAGCCGCGGUAAUACGUCGGGGGCAAGCGUUCUCCGGAUUUACUGGGUGUAAAGGGAGCGCAGACGGCUGUGCAAGUCUGGAGUGAAAGGCGGGGGCCCAACCCCCGGACUGCUCUUGAAACUGGAAAGCUGGAGUGCAGGAGAGGUAAGUGGAAUUCCUAGUGUAGCGGUGAAAUGCGUAGAGAUUAGGAGGAACACCAGUGGCGAAGGCGGCGUACUGGACGACAACUGACGUUGAGGCUCGAAAGCGUGGGGAGCAAACAGGAUUAGAUACCCCUGUAGUC
rnacentral:rRNA from 1 species